AUCGCUUCUUGGCCUUCUGGCAAAAACCAAGUGUAGUAUCUGUUCUUAUCAUUUUAAUAUAUGAUAUGUCCUCUAUCCGAGAACAUUAUACUAAAUGGAUUUUUGGAGCUGGGAGAUGGAAUAGGAGCCUGCUCCAUCCACUCCGCACAUUGACCCGGUAUUGCAGUACUUCCAGGAAUGGCACACCAAGA